rnacentral:rRNA from 1 species
GGGGAACCAGGAGACAGGUGCUGCAUUGGCUGUCGUUCAGCUCGUGUCGUGAGAUGUUGGGUUAAGUCCCGCAACGAGCGCAACCCUUAUCUUUAAUUGCCAGCAUUCAGUUGGGCACUUUAAAGAGACUGCCGGUGUUAAACCGGAGGAAGGUGGGAUGACGUCAAGUCCUCAUGGCCUUUAUGCUUAGGGCUACACACGUGCUACAAUGGGUGGUACAAAGAGAAGCCAACUCGCGAGAGCGCGCCAAUCUCAAAAAGCCAUCCUCAGUUCGGAUUGGAGUCUGCAACUCGACUCCAUGAAGUUGGAAUCGCUAGUAAUCGCGGAUCAGCAUGCCGCGGUGAAUACGUUCCCGGGCCUU